AUCAUGAAUAAUAGCUUGGAAAAUAAGACUGAUCUUCCCUUGAGAUCUAAUGCUUAACUCCAAAGAAUAAAAGGAGGGAAGAUUCUCUCCACAUGAGAGAAUCUAAGCAUCAAUCCUGGUGUGUAUGGAACCCCCGAACACAACAGAACAGACAUAUAUGAAGACUGCCAGCUAAGCUGCACAUAUGUGGAACUGGGAAAGAAUGUAAGGCUUUCUGCUCCAAAGCACACAAACUUCAAGUGAGCGAAAGGAAAAUCUCAUUGGCCCUGAGUGGAAUUAAGGAGCACAUUUUUCAUGGCAAAGCCAGUAGAGGACAACAUAAUCACCAACAUCAGAUCAGAGCCAUGAUGCUCUGUAAUGAGUAGAACCACAGGCAGAACACCCCUGCUGAGAGCCAUCAGGCCAUGAUGUAUUGACAUGGUCACUUGUGGAAGCCAGAAGAUCACAAAGUGGCUCCUUGGCAGAAUGGAAUCAUCCACUCAGCCCCCUCUAUGAUGAAAUGGGAACUCAAAAGAGAAGUGAUUCGCCUAAGGUCAUCCAGUUCCUGAGCAGCAAAGAAAGGACUAGAGUCCAAACCUUCAGAUUCUUCCAAGAGGUGGUGCUUCUUGGCUCGACUUUGAUCUUCCCGGACUCAUUUUCUCAUCUUCUCCUAUGGGCAAACCCACCUCACACCAUCAGGUGCUACAAGGUGCCAGGAAUGCAAAGAUGAUUGGAAUGGUCCUAUUUUCAAGGACGGUGUAAGAGAGGAAACUUAGACUUAAUCCACCAGAGGAAGAAGACAAGCAGAUUCAUCAUGCUGGAAGGCCAUCUUGAGCGGGGGAAGGGCAGGAAGGAAAGAGAAUUCCAUAGAAGGAACAGAGAAACUGAGGAGAUCCAGACAGUUGAAUUCAUUUCUCUUUGGGAAGCCCACCAGGGAGGUCGAUUUGAGUGAACCUCUGAGCCUUGAGCAUCCUCCUGUGAAACAAGACCCCAGUGUCCAGUGAAGACAACCCAGUGAAUAGAACUUUGCCAGAAAACUAUUCACCACAAGAAGAAUUCCUCUAAAUCCCUCUAAACAGUCCUUGAACUUGAUACUAGCUAGAACAGCUAGGAGUCAGGACAGCUCUCACAACUGAUCCCAGGCAGGAUGUUUGGGGAGAAGGAGUUCAAUUGUUAUUAUUAGGGACUUCCUAUAUUCCACCUUCCCAAUUGCCUUAUCCCACAAUUCAGUUGCCCUACCUUUCAUACCUUUCUUUAGAAUAAAUAGCCGUUUACUAGAUCCA
rnacentral:lncRNA from 1 species